UGAGAGAGGCCCCCCCCCCCAAGUCGCAGUACACAGAGGAAACACUACAUCCAACGCGUGGCGAGAAGCUUCUCCGGUGAAGAGGGGAGGAGGAGAGGGAGGAAGAGCAUCUCGAAUGGAUAUGCACAAGGGAUAAUAGCAGACAAUUAAAGAGGCGACUGCGUGGUUGAGAGUGUGUGAGAGUCAAGCAUGGUUGAAGCCUGUCAAACGUAAACCACGGGAGGGUUGGAGUGAGAAGUUUGAGGGGGGUAGGAGUGUGAAACCACCAAAAACACAGUAUGCUUUCACACAUGACAUGCUGGCUUUAAACAAAAAAAACAAAAAAAAAACAGCAGAAGCACGACAUAUUCACCUCACAAUAAUCAUUUUUAGAACUUUUUAGAACAAUAAGUAAAUUAGCUAAAUUCUAGAAUUGGAAGUCAAGUGGAUUUUGGCCCACAUUUGCUCCCCUUGUCCUAGGACUUCAAAAGACAAGCCAACAAGCCACGAGGAUAGAGAGAAAAAGCACAUACACCAACCAGAAAGGUUAAUAACAGCUCUCCUCGUCAUCAUAUUCGACACGACCAGCUACGGGUCUAAUUAUCAUCAUUAUGGCCUGCAAGGACAUCUACUUAUCCUCGCCGGGAUCAUGGCGCUGAGUAUGCUUACAACACAUGUGCCGCUGGUAGACAAAGACUGGAGACAACAUUCAGUCUGCAGCUUCUGGCUGAAGGCAUUUCUGCUUAAAGAAAAGAGCCUCGGCCAGAUGGACCAUGCCAUUUGCAGUGAUCUGGUUGUUCCUCAGCAGUAAGACCUUCAGACCUGCCGUCUGCCGCCUCAGACCAUCACACAGCUCCUCCAAACCUGG